rnacentral:lncRNA from 1 species
UUCCCCACUGACUACAUAAUCAUACUCUGUCCUGCCAUCACCACUGCCUCGCCUCCAACUGGGCCGCCCUGCUCCUCUCCACCACCGGUUGCCAUCUUCUCUGGCAAAUGGUUAGAGCUAACAUAUACAUGCAUUGCCUAUUGUGCAACAUAGAAUUUGAAUACCUGAAAGCAAAUCUUCAUAUCUUUUCCGUAGUAGCAUAGAGAAGAAUAACUUUGUCUAAUAUAGUAUGCACUAUGCUCCAGAAACUAAACACAAAGGCAAUUGACUUCAGCAUCACUUUGUCCUUCAGCUAGCAAACACGUUUCGAAUUUAGUAAGGUCUAAC